rnacentral:rRNA from 1 species
UAAGGAAUAUUGCGCAAUGGGCGAAAGCCUGACGCAGCGACGCCGCGUGGGGGAUGAAGGUCUUCGGAUUGUAAACCCCUUUCGGGAGGGAAGAUGGAACGAGCAAUCGUUCGGACGGUACCUCCAGAAGCAGCCACGGCUAACUUCGUGCCAGCAGCCGCGGUAAUACGAAGGUGGCAAGCGUUGUUCGGAUUCACUGGGCGUACAGGGAGCGUAGGCGGUUGGGUAAGCCCUCCGUGAAAUCUCCGGGCCUAACCCGGAAAGUGCAGAGGGGACUGCUCGGCUUGAGGACGGGAGAGGAGCGCGGAAUUCCCGGUGUAGCGGUGAAAUGCGUAGAGAUCGGGAGGAAGGCCGGUGGCGAAGGCGGCGCUCUGGAACGUUUCUGACGCUGAGGCUCGAAAGCGUGGGGAGCAAACA